UUGAAGACUCAAGUGUUCCACCUGCUGAACUCUGAAGUACCUGUUGCCAAAGGCGCUCAUAGUGACAAACCUUUGGCACUGGUACUUUGGAGUAAAGAUGGUGACAAUUCAUCUCAUCUGCAG
rnacentral:precursor_RNA from 16 species